GACAGAGGGUGCAAAACGUUGUUCGGAAUUACUGGGCGUAAAGCGUGUGUAGGCGGUCUUGAAAAGUCGGAUGUGAAAAGCCCCCAGGCUCAACCUGGGGAAGUGCACCCCGAAAACUCCCAAGACUUGAGUAUCGGAGAGGUUGGUUGGGAAUUCUCGGUGUAGAGGUGAAAUUCGUAAGAUAUCGAGAGGAAACACCGGUGGGCGAAGGCGGCCAACUGGACGAAUAACUGACGCUGAGACACGAAAGACGUGGGAGCAAACAGG
rnacentral:rRNA from 1 species